rnacentral:misc_RNA from 1 species
AACGCACAUUGCGCCCCUGGGUCCUCUAUGGGGCAUGCCUGUCCGAGCGUCGUUUAUAUCAGUACCAAAAAGAGAGCUUGGUGGUCGUUUGGGUCUGCAUGCAUCUAGUCAUGGCCUCAAAGGCGGUGCCCUUGCAAGGGGUGCUGACGCCAUCCGCUGGCUUCCGCACUCGCAGCAGUAUGCGUUCGUGUAGGGCUGGUUGGAGCGGCUUGCAAUGAACAUUACGAGCUCGACCUCGGAUCAGGUAGGGAUACCCGCUGAACUUAA